rnacentral:rRNA from 1 species
UACGUAGGGUCCAAGCGUUAUCCGGAAUCACUGGGCGUAAAGCGUCCGCAGCCGGGAGUCUAAGUGAGGUGUUAAAUCGUGUGGCUCAACCAUAUCGAUGCAUCUCAUACUGGGCACCUAGAGGAAAUCAGAGGCAAGUGGAAUUACGAGUGUAGCGGUAAAAUGCGUAGAUAUUCGUAGGAACACCAAUGGCGAAGGCAGCUUGCUGGGAUUUUUCUGACGGUCAGGGACGAAAGCGUGGGGAGCGAACAGG